AUGGAUCGAAAUUCAACUUAUGUGCUGAAAAUCAAUUUGCUUGGCAACCCAAAAAAGGCUAGAAAGGAUAUCAAAUGCUUCUGUUUUGAUAAGGUUAUUGAUUCCGACUUAACAAAUUAUAAGGACUUGGUUGAAUCAAUCGUAGAGCAGUACUCGCCUCGUUAUUUGGAAGUUGAACAUGUUCAGUACUAUGAUGAUGUUCUUAAAAUCUACCCUGAAGUAACAUCUGACCAAGAAUUGGUGUCGAUGUUUGAGAAACACUCUAAGACAAAGGUUGUGCACAUGUUUGUUGCAUAUUGUGAUCCAUCGGAACCAUAUGAGCCUAUAACGGAGUGGCAUAGUGAUGCGCAUAGCCAACCUAACAACAUAGAACAAGAUGAUGAUGAUUAUCUUCGCAACCCAGUACCUGAGAAUGAGCAUGUUGGUGUUGAUGAGGAAAAUAUUUAUUUAGAGGAUGAACAUGUACCUCUUAUCAUGGUUCCUUGUUCCAAUAAAGAAAAGGACAAAGACUAUGUUCCUGAUCAUGAGAGCGAGGUUGAGAGCGAGGAUGAGAGCAUGUCAGAGGUUGAAGUAGAGGAAGAUGAGGAAUAUCACGAGGCAGAUCAUGCACCACACAUUGAAUAUAAUAAAUUAGAUCCUCCAAUGAACGAAGGAAGAAAAUAUCCCAAUAUGGCAGAGUUUAAAUUGGCGCUCUCUCGGCAUGCAAUCAAACAUGAAUUUGAGUUUGACACCGAAAAGAGUGCACCACAUAGGUUCAGAGCUUAUUGUUCAAGAAGGGAUGAAGAUAAGUGUCCAUGGAGGAUAUAUGCUUCUACAAUGGAAGAUGAGUGCACAGUAAUGGUGAGAAAGAACCCUUGUGGUCAUGAUUGCUCUAGUACAAAAAGAAAAAAGAAGUUGAAGAAUGCAAACAAGCGGUGGAUAUGUGAGCACGUGAAGGACUGGCUAAUUGAGGAUGCAACUCUAGGACCAAAGGCAUUGCGAAAGAAGCUUAAAGAGCAUCAUGGAAUCGACAUCAACUCUAAGAGAGUCUAUAUGGGUAAGCUGCUAGCCUUGAAGGAACUAUAUGGUGAUUGGGAUACAAGCUUUGAUAAUCUGUAUAGUUUCAAGGCGCAAAUUGAAAGUUGCUGCCCCGGUAGCAUAGUGAUCAUUGAUCAUCACACAAUAAAAGAUAAAAUCAGAUUUAAAAGAAUUUUUGUUGCUUUGAAGCCUUGCAUCGACGGGUUCCUUAAUGGCUGCAGGCCAUACUUGGCAGUAGAUAGCACCUUCUUGACAGGCAGGUUCAAGGGGCAGCUGGCUAGUGCUACUGGCGUUGAUGGCCAUAGUUGGAUGUAUCCAGUUUGUAUGGGUGUUUUCGAUUCUGAAACUAAUGAGAAUUGGACCUGGUUCAUGCAAAUGGUUAGACAAGCCAUAGGAUCCCCAAGGGGUUUAACCAUAUGCACCGAUGCUGGGCAACCAGUGAUGACAGGUGUAAAGGAAGUGUUCCCAGAGGCUGAACAUAGGGAAUGUAUGUUUCACUUGGUGUCCAACUUCAAGAAGAAGUUUCAUGGAAAGGUGUUUGAUGACCACCUUUGGGCUGCUGCUUACUCAUGGAACCCAUAUAUAUUUGAAAAACAUUGGGCUGCAAUGGACAUAGCAAAGCCUGCGGCAACUGCAUAUCUUAGGAGGUGGCACACUAGGUUGUGGUCUAGGAGUCAGUUCUCAACAAUUUCCAAGGUGGAUUAUGUUACAAACAACUUGGCUGAGUGCUUCAAUAAUUGGAUUAAGCAUCACAAGUCCUUGAACUUGGACGACUUCUUUGAUAAGGUUAGGCAGAUAAUUAUGAUCAUGUGGAACCGAAGGAGGAAAGUAGCAAGGAAGCUGGUUGGGUUGAUUCUUCCCCACAUUGACAAAUUUAAGGCAGCCUAUGACCAACUAAUUCCUGCCAUGGUUGACAAGAACCAAUGGCCUAAAUCUGACCAUGGAUUCUUCAUGUUUCCACCACUACUAAAAUCCACGGCGGGUAGGCAUAAAACUGAGAGGUAUAAAGGCUGCAGUGAGAAGAAAAGAAAAAGCGGCCAACACUUAUGCCCUAUGUGUAAGGACUAUGGGCAUCAUUGGCAUAAAUGCAAGAAGGGUAACCCAGAUGACAUUGCUGCUAUUUUAGCUGUGAGAGGACCGCCAAAGAAGAGGGCAAAGACCACCAAAGCAUCAAUUGUGCCUUGCGAGGAUGAUGCUCCAGCAGCCUCUAUGUGCUUUCCGCCAAGCCAAAGCUUGGAACCUACAACUACGAAAAAGAGAAAACACGAUAACUCAAUUACUGGAGCAUCAAAAAGCCAAAUGUUGGAGAAAACAACUAAGGAAAAAGGGAAAGGGAGUAAAUCUGGAUCUAGAGUAGCAAAAAGAUCAAGAACUCAACCCAUUUGUGUGGCCAACAAGAAAGCAUUUGUUGCUUUGAAAUUACAUGCCAAAAGAAAAGGCAAAGAGGUUGCUGAUAAGUUGCCACACCUUCCUAUGGUGCCACAUGAUAGCCCUGCAAUGGGCACACGUAGCAAAAAAAUGAAUCCCGCCAGCCCUGCAAUGAGCACACGAAGCAAAAGGAGGCGUAGCUUGUGA
rnacentral:rRNA from 1 species